rnacentral:rRNA from 1 species
GUGAGGAAUAUUGCGCAAUGGGCGAAAGCCUGACGCAGCAACGCCGCGUGGAGGACGAAGGCCUUCGGGUUGUAAACUCCUGUCAGGUGGGACGAAAAAGCAGCGGCCAAUACCCGCUGUUCAUGACGGUACCACCGGAGGAAGCCCCGGCUAACUCCGUGCCAGCAGCCGCGGUAAUACGGAGGGGGCGAGCGUUAUUCGGAAUUAUUGGGCGUAAAGGGCGCGUAGGCGGCUUGGCAAGUCAUGGGUGAAAUCCCUCGGCUCAACCGAGGAAUUGCCUCUGAAACUGCUUCGCUCGAGGCCGGGAGGGGGUAGCGGAAUUCCCAGUGUAGCGGUGAAAUGCGUAGAUACUGGGAGGAACACCGGUGGCGAAGGCGGCUACCUGGACCGGUUCUGACGCUGAGGCGCGAAAGCGUGGGGAGCAAACAGGAUUAGAAACCCUUGUAGUCC